AAAGAGUCUAAUGAGGUG
rnacentral:misc_RNA from 1 species